UACGUAGGAUCCGAGCGCUGCCCGGAGUUACUGGCUGUAAAGGCUGCGUAUGCUGAUCUGUGCGACACAAGUGAAAUCCACGGAUUUAAAUCACGAGCGGCCUUUGAUACGUGAGGCCUUGACUACGAUAGAGGUGCGUGGAAUUCCUGGUGUAGCAGUGAAAUGCGUAGAUAUCAGGAGGCACGCCGGUGGCGAAGGCGGCGCACUGGCUCGUAACUGUCGCUGAGCCACGAAAGCGUGGGGAUCAAACAGGAUUAGAUACCUUGGUAGUGCCACGCCUUAAACGACGCAUGCUUGGUGUUGGUCUCGCAAGAGAUCAGUGCCGUAGUCAACAUGAUAAGCAUGCCAGCUGGGGAGUACGAUCGCAAGGCUGAUCUCACAAGGAAUUGACGGGGCACCGCUCAAGCGGUGGAUCAUGUGGUCUAAUUCGAUACACCCCGAAGACCCCUACCCAGGCGGGAAGUGUCCGUGGUAAAGAGAUGAAAGUCGACUGACCCGCAAGGGAGCGUAGAGAGGUCCUGCAUGACUGUCGUCAGUUCGUGUCGUGAGACGUUGGGCUAAGUGCCGCCACGAGCGCAGCCCCUAUCUUUCGUGGCCAUUCAGGUUAUGCUGGGCACUCUAGGGAGGCCACGUACGCAAGUAGAGAGGAAGGUGGGGACGACGUCAAGUCAUCAUGGUCCUCACGUCUGGGCCUACCCACGUGACACAAUGGUCGGCACAGUGGUCGAAGGCGCGAGCCGGAGAUAAUCCCCAAAACCGAUCUCAGUUCGGAUCGCAGUAUGCAACUUGACUGCAUGAAGAUGGAAUCGCUAGUAAUCGCGGAUCAGCACUCCGCGGUGAAUUCGUCUCCCGGGCCU
rnacentral:rRNA from 1 species